rnacentral:rRNA from 1 species
GGGCGCAAGCCUGAUCCAGCCAUGCCGCGUGAGUGAUGAAGGCCCUAGGGUUGUAAAGCUCUUUCACCGGUGAAGAUAAUGACGGUAGCCGGAGAAGAAGCCCCGGCUAACUCCGUGCCAGCAGCCGCGGUAAUACGGAGGGGGCUAGCGUUGUUCGGAAUUACUGGGCGUAAAGCGCACGUAGGCGGGUAUCCAAGUUGGGGGUGAAAUCCCGGGGCUCAACCCCGGAACUGCCUCCAAAACUGGGUACCUAGAGUCCGAGAGAGGUGAGUGGAAUUCCCAGUGUAGAGGUGAAAUUCGUAGAUAUUGGGAAGAACACCAGUGGCGAAGGCGGCUCACUGGCUCGGUACUGACGCUGAGGUGCGACAGCGUGGGGAGCAAACAGGAUUAGAUACCCUGGUAGUCCACGCCGUAAACGAUGAGAGCUAGUUGUCGGGCAGCAUGCUGUUCGGUGACGCAGCUAACGCAUUAAGCUCUCCGCCUGG